rnacentral:rRNA from 1 species
CCUACGGGUGGCAGCAGUGAGGAAUCUUUGUCAAUGGGCGCGAGCCUGAACCAGCCAAGUAGCGUGAAGGAUGACUGCCCUACGGGUUGUAAACUUCUUUUAUAAAGGAAUAAAGUGAGGCACGUGUGCCUUUUUGUCUGUACUUUAUGAAUAAGGAUCGGCUAACUCCGUGCCAGCAGCCGCGGUAAUACGGAGGCUCCGAGCGUUAUCCGGAUUUAUUGGGUUUAAAGUGAGCGUAGAUGGGUUGUUAAGUCAGUUGUGAAAGGUUGCGGCUCAACCGGAAAAUUGCAAUUGAUACUGGCAGCCUUGAGUACAGUUGAGGUAGGCGGAAUUCGUGGUGUAGCGGUGAAAUGCUUAGAUAUCGCGAAGAACACCGAUUGCGAAGGCAGCUUACUAAACUGCCACUGACAUUGAUGCUCGAAAGUGUGGGUAGCAAAAAGGAUUAGAUACCCGUGUAGUC